UAAGGGAAUGCAGAGUAGUGAUAAUAAUGACGAACAUUUAUUGUGUUUUUACUGUGUGUUGUGCACUUUCCUCAGUGCUAUGCUGUGUAGUAACUGCCUUAAUCCUCCUGACAACACACAGAGACUGGUGCUAUUAUUAUCCCCAUUCUAUAGCCAUGGAAACUAAGGCACAAAGGGUGAAGUCAUUGGCAAGGUCAGAAAGCCAGACUCGAGGGAGCUGGGCCUGGUGCCCACUAGCUUAACCACAGCACUCACUGCAACUCAUUCAUACGAGAAACACACGAAAUGUAGGCUGUGUUGAGAAAUAAAUAGCAGAAUUGUAAUUAGGGGCCAGAGGAAAAGGUUGUGAAGACCAUGUCAAGAUUUAUGCCUGCGAGACGGGUUGCAGAAUUGACCUGAGGAGACCAGGCUUCUGAGGGUCAAAAAAGCGUCUGAAGGAGAGACACUGAGUGCAUUCUGGGUUCACAUUCCCCUCUUCUACUGCAUUCCUGAAUUUUCUGCCUCACAGCGGCAUCUGAAGCAGUGGCUGUAUGUGUCCUUAGCCACCCUUCAAGUUCACAACAUGUCAUAUUACCUCAUUUUGGCUCCCUGGGACUAUUUUGGAGGACCUGAAUUAGUCAUGUGGGGUACUUGAUUAAAAAUCACUUGAACAGC